CGGGGGGAGCAAGCGUUGUUCGGAUUUACUGGGCGUAAAGGGCGCGUAGGCGGCACCGCAAGUCGACUGUGAAAUCUCCGGGCUUAACUCGGAAAGGUCAGCCGAUACUGCGGGGCUAGAGUGCAGAAGGGGCAACUGGAAUUCUCGGUGUAGCGGUGAAAUGCGUAGAUAUCGAGAGGAACACCUGCGGCGAAGGCGGGUUGCUGGGCUGACACUGACGCUGAUGCGCGAAAGCUAGGGGAGCGAACGGGAUUAGAUACCCCGGUAGUCCUAGCCUUAAACGAUGAAUGCUUGGUGUCUGGGGUUUUAUAGUCCCCGGGUGCCGUCGCUAACGCUUUAAGUCAUUCCGCCUGGGGAGUUCGGUCGCAAGACU
rnacentral:rRNA from 1 species